CACUAUUUUCAACCCUAUGAGUGCCGGUUGCCUUGGAUAAAACGGUGGGACCUGUCACCAGAUUGUAAUUUCUGGGGAUAUGCCUAGACUCCGUCACCAUGCAAGCUAGUCUCCCUGCAGACAAAGUUCAGAGAAUCAGGACAGAGAGAGUUGUUUCUCAACAAAGGUAUUACUAACCGGAAAAACCUACAGUCACUACUUGGUUCUCUGAACUUUGCUAUGAGAAUUAUCCCACAAGGAUGGGCUUUUAUAUCUAGGCCUACUCAGCCUCUUAACCAAACUACCCAACGACCUCAGCAUAGUCACUCUAGACCAACAUGCUAGGUCUGACUUCUAUAUGUGGAGACAAUUCUUGACUCAGUGGAAUGGUAUAAAUAUGUUCUUUCCACCUGAGUUUUCCCCAGUGUUGUGGACAGAGGCAGCAGCCCACUCAGGGUACGCAGCUAUUUUUGGCAACAGUUGGUUUAGAAGCACAUGGCCAGUCGAAACAGCUUCGUUACCCUCGUUUAACUCCACAUCCACCCUUUUUGAAGUAU